CAUCUACGGAGAGUUUGAUCCUGGCUCAGGACGAACGCUGGCGGCGUGCUUAACACAUGCAAGUCGAACGAUGAAGCCAGCUUGCUGGUGGAUUAGUGGCGAACGGGUGAGUAACACGUGGGCAACCUGCCCCCGGCUCUGGGAUAACUCCAAGAAAUUGGUGCUAAUACCGGAUAUUCUUCUUUCACCGCAUGGUGGUU
rnacentral:rRNA from 1 species